GGAAUAUUGGGCAAUGGGCGAAAGCCUGACCCAGCAACGCCGCGUGAAGGAAGAAGGUCUUCGGAUUGUAAACUUUUUUGACAGGGGACGAAGCAUGACGGUACCCUGAAAACAAGCCACGACUAACUACGUGCCAGCAGUCGCGGUAAUACGUAGGUGGCAAGCGUUAUCCGGAUUUACUGGGUGUAAAGGGUGAGUAGGCGGGUAAACAAGUCAGAUGUGAAAUACAAAGGCUUAACCUUUGAACUGCAUUUGAAACUGUAUAUCUUGAGAGUCGGAGAGGUAAUCGGAAUUCCCGGUGUAGCGGUGAAAUGCGUAGAGAUCGGGAGGAACACCAGUGGCGAAGGCGGAUUACUGGACGACCACUGACGCUGAAGCACGAAAGCGUGGGGAGCAAACA
rnacentral:rRNA from 1 species